rnacentral:rRNA from 1 species
GAUGAACGCUGGCGGCGUGCUUAACACAUGCAAGUCGAACAAUGAAGCCCAGCUUGCUGGGUGGAUUAGUGGCGAACGGGUGAGUAACACGUGAGUAACCUGCCCUUAACUCUGGGAUAAGCCUGGGAAACUGGGUCUAAUACCGGAUAGGAGCGCCUACCGCAUGGUGGGUGUUGGAAAGAUUUAUCGGUUUUGGAUGGACUCGCGGCCUAUCAGCUUGUUGGUGAGGUAAUGGCUCACCAAGGCGACGACGGGUAGCCGGCCUGAGAGGGUGACCGGCCACACUGGGACUGAGACACGGCCCAGACUCCUACGGGAGGCAGCAGUGGGGAAUAUUGCACAAUGGGCGAAAGCCUGAUGCAGCGACGCCGCGUGAGGGAUGACGGCCUUCGGGUUGUAAACCUCUUUCAGUAGGGAAGAAGCGAAAGUGACGGUACCUGCAGAAGAAGCACCGGCUAACUACGUG